CUACGGAGGGUGCAAGCGUUACUCGGAAUCACUGGGCGUAAAGCGCGCGCAGGCGGCUAUUUAAGUUGGAUGUGAAAGCCUACGGCUCAACCGUAGAACUGCAUCCAAAACUAUUUAGCUAGAGUGUGGGAGAGGAAGAUGGAAUUAGUUGUGUAGGGGUAAAAUCCGUAGAGAUAACUAGGAAUACCAAAAGCGAAGGCAAUCUUCUGGAACACUACUGACGCUGAGGCGCGAAAGCGUGGGGAGCAAACGGGAUUAGAUACCCUUGUAGUCC
rnacentral:rRNA from 1 species